GGUUAUGGCUCAGGGGUAGAGCGUUUGCCUAGCAUGUGUGAGGCACUGGGUUCAAUUCUCAGCACCA
rnacentral:tRNA from 1 species